rnacentral:rRNA from 1 species
CAUAGCGGAGGAAAAGAAACCAACCGGGAUUGCCUUAGUAACGGCGAGUGAAGCGGCAAAAGCUCAAAUUUGAAAUCUGGUACCUUCGGUGCCCGAGUUGUAAUUUGGAGAGGGCAACUUUGGGGCCGUUCCUUGUCUAUGUUCCUUGGAACAGGACGUCAUAGAGGGUGAGAAUCCCGUGUGGCGAGGAGUGCGGUUCUUUGUAAAGUGCCCUCGAAGAGUCGAGUUGUUUGGGAAUGCAGCUCUAAGUGGGUGGUAAAUUCCAUCUAAAGCUAAAUAUUGGCGAGAGACCGAUAGCGAACAAGUACAGUGAUGGAAAGAUGAAAAGAACUUUGAAAAGAGAGUGAAAAAGUACGUGAAAUUGUUGAAAGGGAAGGGCAUUUGAUCAGACAUGGUGUUUUGUGCCCUCUGCUCCUUGUGGGUAGGGGAAUCUCGCAUUUCACUGGGCCAGCAUCAGUUUUGGUGGCAGGAUAAAUCCAUAGGAAUGUAGCUUGCCUCGGUAAGUAUUAUAGCCUGUUGGGAAUACUGCCAGCUGGGACUGAGGACUGCGACGUAAGUCAAGGAUG